CGCCUGUUUAACAAAAACAUUUCUUUUAGGUUUUUUUAAAGGUACUUUCUGCCCUAUGGUUUAAGUUCUAAAUGGCAUGCAGUACGUUGACUGUGCGGAGGGUAGCAUAAUAAUUAGCUUUUAAUUGGGAUCUGGAAUGAAUGGAAAAUUGAGAUACAAAUUUUAUUUAAUAUAUUAUUAAAAUUUAAAUUUUAGGUAAAAAUUCCUAAUUAUUUUCUUGGGACGAAAAGACCCUAUAGAACUUUAUAUUAUUAGUUUUUACUUGAUUUUUAUUAACAAUAUUAAUUAAUUAUUAUUAAAUUUUGCUGGGGUGGUAAAUAAAUUCAUACUUUAUUAAUGCAAAUCAUUAGUUAAUGUUCUUUUUGAUCUUAAUUAUACAAGUAAGAAUAAGUUACCUUAGGGAUAACAGCGUGAUUUUGAUGGUAAGUUCAUAUUUAUAUUAUUUUUUGCGACCUCGAUGUUGAAUUAAGGUAAAUAAGGGGAAGCAGAAUUCUUUUUUUUAAGUCUGUUCGACUUUUAAAUCCCUACUUGAUCUGAGUUCAGACCGG
rnacentral:rRNA from 1 species